rnacentral:rRNA from 2 species
GACGAACGCUGGCGGCGUGCUUAACACAUGCAAGUCGAACGCUGAAGCACCAGCUUGCUGGUGUGGAUGAGUGGCGAACGGGUGAGUAAUACGUGAGUAACCUGCCCUUGACUCUGGGAUAAGCCCGGGAAACUGGGUCUAAUACUGGAUGCUACAUGUCACCGCAUGGUGGUGUGUGGAAAGGGUUUACUGGUCUUGGAUGGGCUCACGGCCUAUCAGCUUGUUGGUGAGGUAAUGGCUCACCAAGGCGACGACGGGUAGCCGGCCUGAGAGGGUGACCGGCCACACUGGGACUGAGACACGGCCCAG